GGGACUAGUAGACCUGACACCGUUCAGUAAUCGGUGUGCAUUCAAAGCAAUGAUUAGUGACAUUACGAAACCGACAAUCGACAAUGCGUGCAUCAUUCAAGUAGAGCUUUCAUCGUAUUCAGAAAUGCAAAUAAAUGUACACGGAAAAGAUUGGACAAUGAUUAACGUAUGAAAAUAGAUUUAUUUGAUGUUAAUUACACAUGAUAAAUCAAAAAUUGAGAAUCUGUUCAAAAGUUUCGUCGCGGACUCGAGUGUUCAUGAUUGUUACCCUGACCGGAAAGAAACUGAAAGUACGAAGUUUAUUUAUUAGGUGUUUCGGUUCCAGAUCUUUUAAGGCCUAGCCACUGACCAGACACGACACAGCCAGUUCCAGCGACAAUGCAGACGACAACACCUGCACCACGGUUGAGAUUUACCAAAUUCGUCCAACAGCAUUACGGCAACCUUCUUAAUAUCGACAACAUCAUCUCUCUUCGUACACAGCUCAACCAGCAACUAGCCCAGGUCCCAACACUUCACUGUUCGUGAAUUACUGCACCAUGGAUCAACAGCAAGAACUCUUGUAUCAAGUGACCCACACAACCACGACUUCGCGUACGACAUGUACCUACAACCGGCUCAGCAUCAUGGCCGCGACUUCUUCAUGCAGUAUUUUAACUACCGUGUACAAUUGACUACUUGUAUUCUCAUUCUUGUGUCUAUGAACUUCUCACUUUGAUAGCUAUAGGCUCCUUCGCUGUCAUCUUCUUGACUGCCAUACUUAUAUUUCUUAACACCCACGCAUACAUAUAGGCUUACACGCACAAACACAUUUUGUUCUCAUGACGGCCUAUCUAUUAUUCUGUAUACAUGAAGCACACACAGACACACGUUUACAUAUCAAUAAAUCUUCCCUUAACCAAAAAAAAACAAACAAAAUUAUUCAGUUUAUUUCAAGGUUUCUUGCCAGUAGACAAAGAAUCAGUUUCUAACCUAGAUCCAAGGGUUCUUGUAUGUAUGUAUGUAUGUAUGUAUGUAUGUAUGUAUGUGCGACUGUGUGCGUGUGUUCAUUUUAUUUUUCACAUUUUAAAAUAUGUUUCAAAUGGUAAAAUAUUUCAUAUUAAGAUAGAUAUUGCUGGCAAAUAGGGAAUAUUUUCGGAUAAAUAAUGAAAAUAAAAAAAACUAAAUAUAUUUGAAUGUUAUUGCAUAAUUAAAUGUUUAUUAAACCUUCACUUAAUUAAACAUCUAAAAUAUAUAACAUUAAUUUAAUAUUGGAAUAACUGCAUAAAAUUCACAAUUUUGCGAACGUCAAUAUUCAUACAAUAAAGUUUAGAAAAAUAUAAGAAUAUGGUUGGUAAAUUGAAUAUGAUGUACUGUCACGUGAAUAUAUUUAUAAAGGUAAUUUCUGAUGAGAGUAAAUUAAAAUUUUUGUAUUAUUAUCAAUGAUGACAUUUUCAAUUAGCUUGAUGCAAGAUAUUAAUUUGAAAAUUUGUCAAAUGUUCAGCAAAUUGUUGAAUCAUGCUUAUUAUGAUAAAAUUAGUAAAGUUUUUCUUUAAAUUAUUUUUAAAUAAUGUAAUUAGUAGCUUUUAACCUAUGAAGAUGCACAAUAAAUAUACUUGAUAAUGAAUUUGAAGCAAUCUAUUUCCUUCAAAGAGAAUAAAAAAUGAGGGUUAAGCUGCUCAAACUGUUAAUUGACUUACUAAACGCUUUUUGGUGCUUAGUAAUUUUAAUUACACUCUACAUUUUGUGUUUAAACUUUUUGCAGAACAAACGUUGUCAUUUAUCAGUUUAGAGUCGAUAAAAAUAGUAACUGCUAUGUUCCCUUGUUGCUUCUAAUAACUAUAUUUAUGUCUAGGCCUUUGAAGAAUGGAACCUGCAUAAGAAUUCACAUUUGUUGAAACGAAAAUGUCGGUAAAGUAAAAAGAAUGGAAGCGCAUUCUGCGCAUUCUGAGAAAUAUUUUUGAGUAUCUAGUCUCGUUCUGUGUUCAAAUAAUUGUAAAACUCAAAUAGAUAUAUUUCCACGAAAUACACUUAGACCAUUACUCAUUGCUGUUCAUUAAGAAUUCUGGCGUGCAAACUAAAAAGAGAAUGCCUCUAUGAGAUCGAUCGUACUGCAAAGAAUAACAGUCAAAUUUUAUUUUCAUCAUGCUCUAUUGUCUUUUAGAAAUCAACAUUGCAUAAUACAACAAAGAUAAACAAAAAGACAGGAUCACCAUAGCUGGAAUGAGUUUGAUCAUAAGUUUGCCCAAUCAAAGCACUCUAAAUUGUAAACAGCAUCAACAAUAGGAAACGCUGCGGCACUAUGUCUUUCUUUACGUUCUGAAUUCAAAUUUCGCUGAGGUCUACCUUACAUUUCGGAAUGGAUGAAAUAAGUACCACUUGAGCAUGGCAAUGGAUACAAUCGACCGUCCCUUCCCCACAAAUUUUAGUCCUCUUGCCUGUGUAGAAAGGAUUAUUCUUGUGCGUUAUUUGUCAUAUAUUCGUAACUAUGAUAAAUAUCGGUUUCAAAUUUUGGCACUAGGCCAGUAUUUCAGGGAGUGGAAGUAAGUCGGUUACAUCUACCCCAGUGGGCAACUGGUACUUUAUCGACUCCGAAAGGUUGAAAGGCAAAGUCGACUUCAGCAGAAUUUGAAGGCAGAACGUAAAGACGGACGAAAUGCCGUUAAGCAUUUUGUUAGGCGCUGUAAAGAUUGUUUCAGCUCACCGUCUUAACUAUAAUAAAUAUUAGGAUGAACAAUUUAAGAAAGUACAGGAUUAUAGCAAGAAUAUUUGUAUGUAAUCGAAAUAAAUGUAUUUAAAGGUUAUCUAAGGAGCUUAUAAAGACAUAUAAUAUAGGGAUUAUAAUAGCAGAGUAUCUCCAUAUCUAAAUAUAUUUAAUCAUAAUAACAGUGUAUCUAGACUAUAUAUCUAAAUAAAUAAGGAAGUGAAUAUUUAUUAUAGAAUAAAAGAAAGAAAUCAAACAAAACUACUGACACAACAGAGUGAUACUCAUAGGGAAACCAAAUCUUAACAUGAAAUUAAUAAGUGUUAGUAGAAUGCCUGAAUCGGAAUGCUAAAAAGAAAAUCUAUGAGCAAACUACAGAGGUAUGUAUCGGCUAAACUUA